rnacentral:rRNA from 1 species
ACGGAAGGCAGCAGUGGGGAAUGUUGGGCAAUGGGCGCAAGCCUGACCCAGCAAUGCCGCGUGAAGGAUGAAGGUCUUCGGAUUGUAAACUUCUUUGAUUGGGGAAGAAUAAAAUGACCUACCCAGAGAACAAGCUCCGGCUAACUACGUGCCAGCAGCCGCGGUAAUACGUAGGGAGCAAGCGUUAUCCGGAUUUACUGGGUGUAAAGGGCGUGUAGGCGGCUCUGCAAGUCAGAAGUGAAAUCCCCGAGCUUAACUUGGGUGCUGCUUCUGAAACUGUAGAACUUGAGUACUGGAGGGGAAAGCGGAAUUCCUAGUGUAGCGGUAAAAUGCGCAGAUAUUAGGAGGAACACCGGUGGCGAAGGCGGCUUUCUGGACAGUAACUGACGCUGAGGCGCGAAAGCGUGGGGAGCAAACAGGAUUAGAUACCCUGGUA